rnacentral:sRNA from 1 species
UUCGGUAACUAAUUUCAAGUUUAAAUAUUUUUCCAUAUUUUUCGUGAGUGACUUCUUCUUUUCGCAUGGCAGCAAACCUUGCAAUGAAGGAACCGUUACUUUUCUUUUGUGCGCGUGUUUCGUAAGUGCGCGUGAUUCGUAAGUGCGCGUGUUUCGAUCUCUGUGGAUUUGUUGUUUAUCCUAACGUAUCUUUACCUAACGAUAAACUUGUGCCAUUCGUAAAAGGUAUUCAACCAUUUUGUGCAGCGGGUCCCUCGGUCCUUUUGGACAUUCAGUGCAGAGGCGCGUUGGCAACCGCCUGCUACCUUGCCAGGACCUUCCGCCACCGCCAACAACAAGCGAGCAGGCGAACAACGGCAGCAUCCAGGGCAGCCAUCAAAAAAGGCUUUCAAUGGUAGACGAGGUCCUGCCACUGCCACCACCCACUUGCCUCGCCACUCCACUCCAUCACCCUUUCCGCCCGCCGCCUGCUCGUCGACCUCCGCGAACUCGCCAUCCUGCAAAGUCUACAUCCGAAGUCCUGUUGUCCGUUUUCCCGUUGCCAUGUUGGACGGCAAUGGCGAUAUUUGCUUUCCUUUCCGCCAUGAAACGGAAUGAAAUGCGAGGAGGCGGGAUGGUCAGGGGGUGGCAAAGGGGCUGGUAAAGGGGGUGGCCGGACUGGCCUGCGAAAUGUGGGUGGGCCGCGCACAUGGGGUUGAUAUUUCGCCAUUAUUGUAGCAAUUUUGAUCAAUGGCCCUAUAUUCCGGCGAGCGCUGUCCGCCAACCGAAAAAGGACGAAGCAAAGGACCUACGACCUGCACCCAAAGCACCCAUAUUAUUCGGGGUUUCUCCACUUUUUUCCCAGUGCCACAUGUUCAUGACUGCCCAAGAUGUUGCCGAACUUUCGGCCAAGUGGCUUUGGGCCCGGCUUUUAGCCAGCGAGUGCAUGUAAAUGAGCGGCGAUGCGGACUGCGAGCUGGGAUUGCAUCUGAAUCCGAAUCUGAAGUUGCAACUGUCGAAUGUUCGAUGAUGAUCGCCGAUGACGCUGAUGACUAUAAUGAUGAUGAUGAUCAUCCACCAUGAGAUGAUGAUGGUGGUGG